AUUGAACGCUGGCGGCAUGCCUUACACAUGCAAGUCGAGCGGUAACAGGUUAAGCUGACGAGUGGCGAACGGGUGAGUAAUGUAUCGGAACGUGCCCAGUUGUGGGGGAUAACUGCUCGAAAGAGCAGCUAAUACCGCAUACGACCUGAGGGUGAAAGCGGGGGAUCGCAAGACCUCGCGCAAUUGGAGCGGCCGAUAUCAGAUUAGGUAGUUGGUGGGGUAAAGGCUCACCAAGCCGACGAUCUGUAGCUGGUCUGAGAGGACGGCCAGCCAAACUGGGACUGAGACACGGCCCAGACUCCUACGGGAGGCAGCAGUGGGGAAUUUUGGACAAUGGGCGCAAGCCUGAUCCAGCCAUGCCGCGUGCGGGAAGAAGGCCUUCGGGUUGUAAACCGCUUUUGUCAGGGAAGAAACGCUCUGGGUUAAUACCCUGGGGUAAUGACGGUACCUGAAGAAUAAGCACCGGCUAACUACGUGCCAGCCGCCGCCGUAA
rnacentral:rRNA from 1 species